AACGAACGCUGGCGGCAUGCCUAACACAUGCAAGUCGAACGAGACCUUCGGGUCUAGUGGCGCACGGGUGCGUAACGCGUGGGAAUCUGCCCUUGGGUUCGGAAUAACAGUUAGAAAUGACUGCUAAUACCGGAUAAUGUCUUCGGACCAAAGAUUUAUCGCCCAGGGAUGAGCCCGCGUAGGAUUAGCUAGUUGGUGAGGUAAAGGCUCACCAAGGCGACGAUCCUUAGCUGGUCUGAGAGGAUGAUCAGCCACACUGGGACUGAGACACGGCCCAGACUCCUACGGGAGGCAGCAGUGGGGAUAUUGGACAAUGGCGAAGCCUGAUCAGCAAUGCCGCGUGAGUGAUG
rnacentral:rRNA from 1 species